UACGUAGGGGCCUAGCGUUGUCCGGAUUUAUUGGGCGUAAAGAGCUCGUAGGCGGUUCGGUAAGUCAGGUGUGAAAUCUCCACGCUCAACGUGGAGGCGCCACCUGAAACUGCCGUGACUCGAGUCCGGUAGGGGAGUGUGGAAUUCCCGGUGUAGCGGUGAAAUGCGUAGAUAUCGGAAGGAACACCAGUGGCGAAAGCGGCUUCCUGGUCCAGCACCGACGUUCAGGCACGAAAGCGUGGGGAGCAAACAGG
rnacentral:rRNA from 1 species